rnacentral:rRNA from 1 species
GUGGGGAAUCUUAGACAAUGGGCGCAAGCCUGAUCUAGCCAUGCCGCGUGAGCGAUGAAGGCCUUAGGGUUGUAAAGCUCUUUCGUGGGGGAAGAUAAUGACUGUACCCCAAGAAGAAGCCCCGACUAACUCCGUGCCAGCAGCCGCGGUAAUACGGAGGGGGCUAGCGUUGUUCGGAAUUACUGGGCGUAAAGCGCACGUAGGCGGUCUGGAAAGUCAGGGGUGAAAUCCCGGGGCUCAACCCCGGAACUGCCUUUGAAACUCCCAGUCUUGAGUUCGAGAGAGGUGAGUGGAAUUCCGAGUGUAGAGGUGAAAUUCGUAGAUAUUCGGAGGAACACCAGUGGCGAAGGCGGCUCACUGGCUCGAUACUGACGCUGAGGUGCGAAAGCGUGGGGAGCAAACAGGAUUAGAUACCCCUGUAGUCC